AGACAUUUCUGACUUAGUCUUUGAGCCUCUUCUUACUAUGACACUCCUCUUCUCCUAUUGCAAUAACCCCCUCAAUGCGUCAAGGCCAUCUGAUCAGGUGCAGGCUCCUUUCCCGGCUGGGGAAGUCGGGAUCCACAGCGGUGGUUUUAUGUUUUAGUCCGAUGCUUCUGGAAGAGCCCUUGCAAAUCACCCACUGGCUGAGUGCUCUGUCUUCAAUGAGAAAGGAUUAUCGUAGAGACCUAUGGAGGCCUACUAUGUCAGGUACUCUUGGGCAUCCCAUUUAAGAACAUUGAGACAACUGACCUCUGCCUGCACUCCAAACAAAUGAUUCAACUAGUCUUCUAGAGACUUCACUGAGAAUAUGGUGGCCCUGAGGUCUAGUUCACUCAGACAUCUGCUGAUUGGGUUAUUCCUUCUCCUUGAAUUGUUCAUGGGGAGUUUCUCAGAGCCCACCUUGAACAAAGAGAGGAACUGACAAGGCUGAGGAAACUUUGUGCUUCUCACACAAGUUUAGGCUGCUUUGCUGAGAACCGCUAGGUCCCAGCUCUGCAAAUUUUCUGCACUUUUGCUUGUUUACUUCAUCUGAGACCCAGAUUCCCAAGUUUUUGUGCCCGAGCACAAACCAACUUUCCUGCCUCAACUUUUCCAUGAGUACCAUAUUUGAGGCAGUUCAUUAAGUUUUGAGGCAAAUUCCACACACCAGCUGUUAGCAUGGCAUCCUUCUUCUGCUUUCCCUGGGCACCUAUCCCAGAGUCUCUGCUUCCAGAAGCUUCACUUGCCUUCCCCUUGCCUGACACUGCUCUGGCUUAGGCUUUGAGGCUCUCUCUGCCAUAGUCUCUCUGCAAUAAUAUCUUUUCUUACUCGGGUCCAGAUUUAAUUCUUUUUUUUUCCUUGACAGUUUCUUUGGCAAAAGAUAUCAUUUAGGAUUUUAUUUUUGGAAAGUAAAAUACAAAAAGUAGUCAGAAGUUUUAAACACUUGAUUAAAUAGGAUCGUGGAUUACUGAAAAAUAAUAGCUGGUUAUCUAGUUCACUAAAAUGACAAUAUAAAUUUAAAAGUAGAUAUAGAAGUUACGUGACUAUAAAGAACUUCAGUUCUUUUUAAGUGAAAAGACUUUGUUCUCUCAAGUAAUUAAAGAUAUGACAAAGUCAAUACAAAGUAUAGGAAACAAGUCUAAUAAGACCCUGAAUAGUUGUUUCUAGGCAGAUUAUCUAAAGAUAAAGAAAAAUAUAUUUUACAAGCACUUAUUAAGAGAAAACCAGAAUCCAGGAAGAAAUGUCAUUUUAAUAGAGAGAAAACCAAAUGCCAGUUUUGAAACAGCAUAUUUGGUACUAGCGAUCUUAUUAAAAAUCUUAUAAAUAAGCUCAUAAACCUUAGCUGGCAUUGACUAUAAGAAAUACAAUUCCCUUUCCAUGAACCAUCUGUAACUUUCUCUAUCCAGACAAGUCUUGUCAUACACUUGACUCUCAUUUUGGAACUAGUCAUUUUACUUGAAAACAAAGCUACUCUUGUUUUCCUUAACAGAAUACCCCCUGCAUGCUUUGCAUGCAAAGUUUUCUGCUGCUACUACUCCUGUUAAGAGUCUCAUUCACGUAUAUUGAUUCUAAGUUUUCACUACAGCCACUUCUGUUGCAUAAAGAAAACUAGGAGAUGGAGUAAGAGAAGAGUUAUUCCCAGGGAAUGUAUUAAAACAGCGAGGCAGAUCUUACUAGAACUGCUGCCGUAGAGAAGAGAGGCUUUGGUAUAGACCUCAGUCUUAUUCCCAUGCAGUACCGACAGCUGGAGAUCUCAGCCAAGAGCCGAGGGAGGGGGUGAGUGGAUAGAAAAUUACUGAGAGGAACUUGGUCAGAUACCAAAGUAGGGGGGUUCUUGCUAAAUUGGCUUAACAGGAUUCUUACUAAAAGCAGGCGCCAAGGACUUAGAUAUCUAGCAGGGCACGAGGAGCUUGAUCAGAUAUCAAAGAUCAUCGGAUAUCAAAGAUGAUCAGAUAUAAAGGAGGGGCACUUGUCAAUUAACUGGCUUAGGAUUCAUUGCUAAAAGGGGGCUCAGCAGGCCAAGGUCAAGCCUAGUCUAGAAGAAGGCUCACAGGAGCCUCACUAAAGUUUGCUCAAAGAAGGAGAAUUUGCUAGCAAAUAACUACAAACUGUCUUUCAUAUACCAGUAUUUUCUAGCAGACUAGCAGAGUUUAUAAAUGUACAUCUCAACGUCUCAUAAUUUUUAUAGUCAUAAAUGUCCCUUAUACUGUAACUACUCAACGUGGCAAAAAUGAACAUGUCCAUUAACAGACCCAAAUAGAUAGCCUCUCUGUAUUAUAUAAAAGUAAAAGGCCAAAAGUAUAUAAAAUGAAAUUGUACGUAGCAAUUAAUGCUUCAAUAUUUUAUCUCACUUAGAUAUGAUUUAGGUAUCUAAUGAAUAUUCAUGAAUUAACUCAAUUGGGCAUCGGUCCAAGGUCUUAAGCUACCAAUUGAUUUUGGACACUGUCUUCAAGCUGACAUACUACAAAAUAUAAUUACAUUGAAGCAAAGUUUGUCCAAAUAAUGAUUUAAUUUGACUAAUACAAAUGUACGUUUUUUAUAAUCUUAAAAUAUAGUAACUGAAAUGAUAGUACAUUAAAUCAGCCAAACUUCAUAAAUUGAGGAAAAACCUGCCUGCAUAAAAUAAAAAUAUAUGUUUGUAUUAUAUUUAAUGCUGACAACUCGGAAGAUCUAGCUGUUUUUAUUAAACCAAUACUAUUAAAUUAGUCUCAUUUGCUAAAGUUACCUAAAUUAUGUAAACUUAAAUUCUUAGAACAUUUGAAUUAUUGCCUGUAAGAAUGUAUUUUGAGCACACUGAAAGUAUUAGAAAUUUAAUUUUUUCAGUAUCUUGGAAUUUUCAAGAAUAGUCCCAUAUGCCCUUAGAUAGCUCUAAGUUGAUUAGAAUAAAACCCUUAAAAAAUUUUUUUAUAAUGUAAUUUAGUAAUACCAUCUGGAGAUAGGAAAAUACUACAUAUCUAUAGAUACAUAAACAUGCAUAUAGAUCUGGAAAACUUAUAGCUUCUAUUCCAAUAUUUUAGCCCAUACAUCAGGGGCAAACCAAGAAAUGCAAAACUCAUUUUUCAUGUAAAAAGAGCUCUUAUCUUCCAACUGGGUACAAAUUCUUAGUCAAUUUGAAUUCAAAAUUGGGGAAAAUGGAUAAACAAACAGAAAAGAGUAACAAACAUGAUUUUCUGUCAUCUCUCAUUCAAUGGAGACAAAAUACCUAUAAACCAUUUAAUUCACUUACAGAGAUAGCCAAUUCGUCUAACUACAAAACCAAAAAAAAAAAAAAAAAAAAAAUUUGUCACCAGAAAUUAACUAAAGACUCAAAAAAAAUCAAAGUCAAAUUCUUACCAUGCUUCCAACAGACAAAAGUCUGGGACACAGGACCAGGAUCAGGACUCACCUUUAGAUCCCUGGGUUGCCAGCCAGGAAUGGAGCAGAAAAGCCUCCAAAUGGCCUGAUUACCUGGCUAGAGCAGAUGGGAAUCUGAAGGCAAGGUGCCGUCCUGGGUCAGACUGUCAAAGACAAAAACCAGACAAGUUAGGAGACUGAUAUGAUGGAGACUCUCACAAUGGCAGCAUCAACCCCAGUCUAAGUAUCUUUGGAGCACCUCUACUUUUAUAGACGUUUGCAAAUGAGGUGGUUUUACACCGUGGCUUUGCAAGCUGCAGAAGUGAGCCUUAUGUUUCAAAACAAGAAAUGUUGUUUUUCCCAAAUAUGGCCAGCUCGCUACCUUCGGAGAGCAGAGAGCUUUAAUCUCUGUUAAUCAACCAUGAGCUAAAGAACAGGAUGUGAAAGUGUCUGUUUUGCCUUGUCAGCACAUUCAGACCAAGGCGAGGAAGUGUGCUGGGUUUUGUCCCACGUGAUCAAAGAUCUUGUAGCCAAGAGUUUCAAGCGGAAGUAACAACACGUGAUCAAAGAUCCUGUAGCUAAGGGUUUCAAGCGGAAGUAACGACAAAGGAAAUGAAACCUCUAGUCACCCCUGCAGCUGGGCUAAGUCAUGUCUCCUUCCUCAGCCCAGUGGGCUCUUCUACAUGGAAUAUACUUACUCUCCAUGCCCCCCACCCCACCACACAUGCACUCUUUACAUGUAGCCUCUCUUCCCCUCUUAACAAUUCUACCCACAUCUCUCCAUUUCCACUGAUGCCAGCCAAAUCACCUGACUGCUUCAAAACUACUGCACUACCCCCUAAGUGGUCUCCUGCCUUCCCUACUUUUCUCCCACAAUUCAGUUUCCACCAAGCAGUCAAAGCGAACUAAAGUGAAAAUUGAUUUUUUUACUACUCUGUUCAAAAGUUUUCAAUCUCUCCCUUUUAUCUUUCCAAAUGGUCUACACUGCAUAGCAGAAUGUGCCAGCCCUUCACGUUCUGACUCCCCUCCUUCUUUUUGCCAGCCUUGAGCAUACUCUACUCCCUGGCUCUAUUGAACAUUUGAAGUUCCCAAACACCCCAUGCUCUUCUCCAUGCCCACGUGCUUGUGUGUGUUUUUCUUUCCGCACCUGAUGCCCUCUCUCCAUCUAGCAAAGUCCUUAAUGCGUGUAUACACAAAGUUUAGAUGACGCACACUCUGGGUUCACCCUGGCCCUACCUGUUCUCUCAGCCUCCCCAAAUCUGAAUGGGAUGGAAUCCCUCCAUUCCAUACUCUCUUCUUUCAUAGCACUUACUGUACCAUUUGGAAAAUUCCUCUUUGCCCGUCCCUGCAAAUAAACAAGAAACUCCCUGAAA